UGGCUCAGGAUGAACGCUAGCUACAGGCUUAACACAUGCAAGUCGAGGGGCAUCAGGAAGAAAGCUUGCUUUCUUUGCUGGCGACCGGCGCACGGGUGAGUAACACGUAUCCAACCUGCCCUUUACUCGGGGAUAGCCUUUCGAAAGAAAGAUUAAUACCCGAUAGCAUAAUGAUUCCGCAUGGUUUCAUUAUUAAAGGAUUCCGGUAAAGGAUGGGGAUGCGUUCCAUUAGGUUGUUGGUGAGGUAACGGCCCACCAAGCCUUCGAUGGAUAGGGGUUCUGAGAGGAAGGUCCCCCACAUUGGAACUGAGACACGGUCCAAACUCCUACGGGAGGCAGCAGUGAGGAAUAUUGGUCAAUGGGCGCUAGCCUGAACCAGCCAAGUAGCGUGAAGGAUGAAGGCUCUAUGGGUCGUAAACUUCUUUUAUAUAAGAAUAAAGUGCAGUAUGUAUACUGUUUUGUAUGUAUUAUAUGAAUAAGGAUCGGCUAACUCCGUGCCAGCAGCCGCGGUAAUACGGAGGAUCCGAGCGUUAUCCGGAUUUAUUGGGUUUAAAGGGAGCGUAGGUGGACUGGUAAGUCAGUUGUGAAAGUUUGCGGCUCAACCGUAAAAUUGCAGUUGAUACUGUCAGUCUUGAGUACAGUAGAGGUGGGCGGAAUUCGUGGUGUAGCGGUGAAAUGCUUAGAUAUCACGAAGAACUCCGAUUGCGAAGGCAGCUCACUGGACUGCAACUGACACUGAUGCUCGAAAGUGUGGGUAUCAAACAGGAUUAGAUACCCUGGUAGUCCACACAGUAAACGAUGAAUACUCGCUGUUUGCGAUAUACAGUAAGCGGCCAAGCGAAAGCAUUAAGUAUUCCACCUGGGGAGUACGCCGGCAACGGUGAAACUCAAAGGAAUUGACGGGGGCCCGCACAAGCGGAGGAACAUGUGGUUUAAUUCGAUGAUACGCGAGGAACCUUAUCCGGGCUUAAAUUGCAGUGGAAUGAUGUGGAAACAUGUCAGUGAGCAAUCACCGCUGUGAAGGUGCUGCAUGGUUGUCGUCAGCUCGUGCCGUGAGGUGUCGGCUUAAGUGCCAUAACGAGCGCAACCCUUAUCUUUAGUUACUAACAGGUUAUGCUGAGGACUGUAGAGAGACUGCCGUCGUAAGAUGUGAGGAAGGUGGGGAUGACGUCAAAUCAGCACGGCCCUUACGUCCGGGGCUACACACGUGUUACAAUGGGGGGUACAGAAGGCAGCUAGCGGGUGACCGUAUGCUAAUCCCAAAAUCCUCUCUCAGUUCGGAUCGAAGUCUGCAACCCGACUUCGUGAAGCUGGAUUCGUUAGUAAUCGCGCAUCAGCCACGGCGCGGUGAAUACGUUCCCGGGCCUUGUACACACCGCCCGUCAAGCCAUGGGAGCCGGGGGUACCUGAAGUACGUAACCGCAAGGA
rnacentral:rRNA from 1 species